AUUGAACGCUGGCGGCAGGCCUAACACAUGCAAGUCGAACGGUAACAGGAAGAGGCUUGCUUCUUUGCUGACGAGUGGCGGACGGGUGAGUAAUGUCUGGGAAACUGCCUGAUGGAGGGGGAUAACUACUGGAAACGGUAGCUAAUACCGCAUAACGUCGCAAGGCCAAAGAGGGGGACCUUCGGGCCUCUUGCCAUCUGGUGUGCCCAGAUGGGAUUAGCUAGUAGGUGGGGUAACGGCUCACCUAGGCGACGAUCCCUAGCUGGUCUGAGAGGAUGACCAGCCACACUGGAACUGAGACACGGUCCAGACUCCUACGGGAGGCAGCAGUGGGGAAUAUUGCACAAUGGGCGCAAGCCUGAUGCAGCCAUGCCGCGUGUAUGAAGAAGGCCUUCGGGUUGUAAAGUACUUUUAGCGGGGAGGAAGGGAGUAAAGUUAAUACCUUUGCUCAUUGACGUUACCCGCAGAAGAAGCACCGGCUAACUCCGUG
rnacentral:rRNA from 1 species